UACGUAGGGCGCAAGCGUUAUCCGGAAUUAUUGGGCGUAAAGAGCUCGUAGGCGGUUUGUCGCGUCUGCCGUGAAAGUCCGGGGCUCAACUCCGGAUCUCCGGUGGGUACGGGCAGACUAGAGUGAUGUAGGGGAGACUGGAAUUCCUGGUGUAGCGGUGAAAUGCGCAGAUAUCAGGAGGAACACCGAUGGCGAAGGCAGGUCUCUGGGCAUUAACUGACGCUGAGGAGCGAAAGCAUGGGGAGCGAACAGG
rnacentral:rRNA from 1 species